UACGUAGGGGGGCAAGCGUUGUCCGGAUUUAUUGGGCGUAAGGAGCGUGUAGGCGGCUUGGUAGGUCCGCUGUGAAAACUCGAGGCUCAACCUCGAGAUGUCGGCGGAAACCACUUGGCUAGAGUCCGGAAGAGGAGAGUGGAAUUCCUGGUGUAGCGGUGAAAUGCGCAGAUAUCAGGAGGAACACCAAUGGCGAAGGCAGCUCGCUGGGACGGUACUGACGCUGAGGAGCGAAAGCGUGGGGAGCGAACAGG
rnacentral:rRNA from 1 species